AUGUCAUUAUUCUUUUAGCGUAUCCUAAUUGUUAAAUCGAUCCAGACUCAUCGAAACCCUAUUUUAUACGGUAGGUUUUAGUGCAACUAAUUAUAUGAUUUUUGAAUAAUUAUCAUCACAUAAUCACUUUGAAUAUGCACACUUGUAACAUUAUUAUAAUACCUGCUCCGUGAAGCAGUAAUGUAUUCCGCUGUUUUGUUGUUAGUCAAAUAAUGAUGUAACAUAUUCUAUCAUGUUAGACAAGAUGAUCCGAACAAACCAAUUAAAAGCGUCGGAAGUAGCUGAUUUUGUAGCAAUAAAUGAAUAUUAUUCGGAUUUCUAGUAAACACAGUUUUCUGAAAGAUCGCUUGAAGACGGCACCUGCUGAUUUAGCCAUCUUCAGCAGCAUUGCUUGAACUUUCGCGGCCUGUUUGCUUCACAAACUGUCCUCUAACACGUGGCCGUUGUUCCGCUAGUUGUUUUCUGUUUUGAUAUCCAUCGAUCUUUUUUCUUUUCAAGAAACUUGAUCAAGGCUGCUUCUCUCUGUGCAGAUUUGUGUGGAUCUUUUCUUAUUUCACUACCACUUCCACCACCACCAC
rnacentral:lncRNA from 1 species